rnacentral:tmRNA from 1 species
GGGGGCGAAACGGCUUCGACGGGGAUAGGGAAGCUUAAGUUGCAUACCGAGGUUCCACUUGCUCGUAAAACAGGUGGUCUAACACAAACGCAGACGAUUAUGCGUACUCCUUAGCCGCAUAGACGGCUAACGUCCUUUCAAUUGCUCCUGCGAAAUUGAAAAGGGCGCCGACUCAGCGGGAUAGCCGACCCGAUUUACUCGCAGAUCGGUGAAGCGAAAUUACAUGCGGGUUAGCCUCCUGGCAACCUCGCCUGAUAGGGAGCCAAUGGGGCGAACAUCUAUUAUCGGGCUAUGUAUGUAGAAGCUUAAGUGGAAUAUUUUCGGACGGGGGUUCGACUCCCCCCGCCUCCACCA